rnacentral:rRNA from 1 species
CACCUGUUUAUCAAAAACAUGGUUUUAUGAUUAUAUUUUAAGAUUUAUUGUGCUCAAUGAUAAUAGAUUAAUUAUUAAAUAGCAGCAGUAUUUUGACUGUGCAAAGGUAGCAUAAUCAAUUGUCUUUUAAUUAAAGACUGGAAUGAAGGAAUGAAUGAAAUUUAAACUGUCUAUAAUAAAAAAUUUUAAUUUUAAUUUUAAGUCAAAAUGCUUAAAUAAAAUUAUGGGACGAGAAGACCCUAUAGAAUUUUAUAUAAAUUUUUAAAUAAUUAUGUGAGUAAAAAAAUUAAAUUUAAAAUUUAAUUUUAUUGGGAGGAUAAUUAAAUUAAUUUAACUUUAUUAAUUAUUAAUAUUAUAUAUAUAUAUAUAUACAUUAAUUUAUGAAAAAAUGAAUAAAUUUUUUAUUGAAUUUAUAUUAGAAUUAAUUACCUUAGGGAUAACAGCGUUAUAUUUCUUAAAAGAUCGUAUUAAGAAAAAUGUUUGCGGCCUUGAUGUUGAAUUAAAAUAAAAAUUAAAUGAAGAAGUUUAAUAUUUUAGUCUGUUCGACUAUUAAAAUUUUACAUGAUUUGAGUUCAAAUCGACG